ensembl:lncRNA
UCACACAUGAGUAUAUCUGAAAUUCAGUGUGUUUGUGUGCAUAUGUGUGAGUGUGUGUGCCUUGCUUGUGUGUUUUAAUGCUGGUCCCUCCCUUUCCAGGAGAAGGGACCUCUGUGACCGUCAGGAGGAUAGAAGAAGAUGAGAGGAGAGGAGGACAGCGGACUGAGAUAUGGAGGAGAGGAGACUCUGGACUCCUAUGUCCCUCCUAAUAACUUGAUUACACGGAUCUCUGUUCUGGAGAAUGCUGAUAUUGGCAGCCUAAAGCAGCAAUAUCAUAGGAUUGGCUUCUUUCCUGAGCUGGACAGCACAACACUCUCCUCACAUGCUGUCUUUCCCCCCCAGCCAAUCGGAAGCCCUUUCUCCCAUGAAGUGAACUAUGAUCUUUGACCAAACUGUAGCAGUGGGUCGUUACCACGACAACUUCCUGCCACAGGUCAGUGGGCGGAGACACCUUAUCUAUCAUGUGGCCUGGGAGGACCAAUCAAACUGCAUGGUCAGGAUGAGGAUUCUAAUGGGUUCUAAGGAUUAAAUCAUUUUUGGGGUGAUUUUGAGGAGGAAUGGUGUCCUAUGUGGUUAUACCCUUCGUUUGGAGAACUGCCACGUGACUCAAGAGUACUCACUGUGUAGAACAGAUGGAUUUGCAAAAUGUUUUCAAACAGAUGACUUGUUCCAUUGGCAUGAACAGACUAUGUAUUGUGGAUCCAGCGAAACUGCGAGACAACUGAUCUCCAUAGCUUCAUAGCUUCCUUUUCAAUGCUUAAAGAUAAAAAUAUAAUUUUUAUUUUGUAAGCUGCGACUUCUGAGUUGACGCUUCUGAGCAUUUUAUGGAUAACGAAAACAGCUUUGAGGCAUCAGUCAAAAUAAUUCCUGUUUGCCAAACUUCUAUUUUGUAAAUAAGAUUUCCUCAAGACCCCUUACACCGGAAUCUCUGUGCCAAAAGAAAGGUCUGUCGUCUGCCUCUCUGAUACAACCUACCUGUGGCUCUCUCAACUUUAAAGCAAUGCCACACCAGCACCUCUGUCUGUAUUGUCUGGAUAUUUGCUUUGCUUCUUGACAUUUUCUUUUUUUACUUUCUGUUUCUGUGUUGGGUUUGGUCAGUCAGUCUGUGACAUAUGAACUGUGAAUCUGUGUUACAUAGCCGUUGAAUCAAAGCAACGAUGGGGAUACCUGCUACCUACGUAUGACGUAACUCACUCUUUUGAAAAUAAAAUGACCAUCCUCACACACAAAAUAAAAGAUCCACAGGCCAAUAAAGUCCCUGUCACUUUUACCUGGGGGGGGUGUAACCUUGCUUUUAACUGUUUUAGAUUACUGAACAGGUGUACUACCCAUCCUUCAAUGUUUGCUUUCAAUCUCUUUGUUAACCUACUCAACUGCUACCAGACCUGGGUUCAAAUACUAUUUAAACCUUCCAAAUACUUUUGAGCAUUUGCUUAAGCCUGCCUCGAGUGCCAUGUUGGCGGGGUUUGCACUUUAGGGACUUUUCUAUUGAUUCCAUGGCAACGGGCAAGCUCAAUCACACACCGCUAAAGUAUUUGAAAUGAUUUGAAAUAGUAUUUGAACCCAGGUCUGCUACACAUGGGUGGUUUCUAGGAAUCAAACCAAUAAGCUAGUUGUGACGGCCCAACCAGCAGUAGACUCCAGAGUGCAUUACUAUGCCUUAUUAUUAUCGGUUGUGUUGCGUUGUCCCGUCACUGUUAUAUCGUCAUGUCAUUGUAUUACAGUAACACGGUUGAUUCAUGCAACUAAAGGUUUGGGGCAUCUGGUAGGUCUGUCUGCUCCACGGAGUUACACAUGGCAAAACGUGGUGACUUUAGAAGAUUAUGAAAGAAUAGAGAUAUUAUUGCUUUUUACUUCUAGACUAUGAUGAUAAUAACUGUAACCCUGCUCGUAUAAGAAAAUGCUCAAUUAAAUGGUCCAACGAUAUUUUGUAAAUUUGAUUUAGGAAUUCCAACAGUCCUGAAAAGAGAAAAGGACUUUUGUACGCAUAUUUCUUCCCAUUCACUGUGCUACUAACCCCGCUGUUCAGUUACAAAUAAAAUAUCAUGUGAUUCCCACUUUGCUCCUGAAUAUUUGAUUAUGCUGCCAGUCAAACAUUUUUUAGCACUCUAAACUGAAUAUCACUCAAGCCUUGCUUAUUUACACCUUGCACUAACAUGUACGUUUUGUGAUCUGAUCCAUAUGUAUGCAGAUUAUUUGACAGAUAUUCAUUCAAAUAUACAGUAUGAAUGUAUUUAUUUAUUUUAAGACAGUUACUGAUGUCAUAAGUCAAAGACCUAUCUGUCAAUGAUUUUAGAGGACGGUAUAAUGAUGAUUUAAAUGGUUUACCGUCCAGAUCUGUUUACACUUGAUUGAUAUCCAGACACAAUGCGUGUCUAGCCCCAUUUAUUCCUGGUUAUAACAUGCGCCCUUGUCCUGCACUUGUACACAUUCUGACUGUGCCCACAUUUUUAGACUGGAGUAGAUGAUUAAAAGACACAUUGUGAUCAGAUCUUCCUGACCACCCUUGGAGGUAGUCAGGGACCUAUUGUUUCUGGAUAUCAAAUCAAGUGUAAACAGACCUGGAAGUUCAAACCAUUCUGCUUCACAGGUUGGCAUUUAUUGGGAGGUCUCAUGUACUGGAGGCAGCUCUUCAGAGCGGUCACUAGCUGGCACAGCCACAAAGUCAAAAAAUCUGAUUUUAAACCUUAACCCUAACCUUAACAACACUGCUAACUCUAAUGCCUAACCCUAACCUUGAAUGUAGACCAAAAAGC